CAGCCGCCGCGGUAAUACGAAGGGUGCAAGCGUUAAUCGGAAUUACUGGGCGUAAAGCGUGCGCAGGCGGUUUGUUAAGACAGAUGUGAAAUCCCCGGGCUCAACCUGGGAACUGCAUUUGUGACUGGCAAGCUAGAGUGUGGCAGAGGGGGGUGGAAUUCCGCGUGUAGCAGUGAAGUGCGUAGAUAUGCGGAGGAACACCGAUGGCGAAGGCAGCCCCCUGGGCCAACACUGACGCUCAUGCACGAAAGCGUGGGGAGCAAACAGGAUUAGAUACCCCAGUAGUCCCUGUCUCUUAUAA
rnacentral:rRNA from 1 species